AAAGAGUUCAAAAGACUCCCCAAACCCACUGCGAACAUACCUGUAUCGUUGCUUCAGCGGGCGGCCCCAGGGCGGGGCCUGGGCCGGACCUCUUCGGAGUCAGGUGCCCGCCGACGGCCCUUAUAAACUCUAGUAUAUAGGCAUUCUGAGCGACGAAGAUGGAAACGAAUUAA
rnacentral:misc_RNA from 1 species